ensembl:lncRNA
CAGCGCAUUGGCAUUAGUGUAUUGGUGAUUAAAUUAUAGUGCUGAAAUACCUAAUUUAUGUAUCUGGUGUGACAGAUUUUAAGGCGAAAGCCAUAGCCAUACCAACUGGCAGCGGAGAGCUCCUCCCCUGCUCUCAUACUGGGAAUAUACAUGUGCAUAUAAACACUGCAGAACAGAUUGCUGGAUCAGUUUAUCAAGGCACUUCAUCAGGCAGUCCAGGCAGCUGGAAUACUGGAAUAUUGCAUGCUCACACACACAUACACACACACACGCACAAAGUGCAUAACAUUUGCAUAUCAACUCUUGCAGGAAUUGAAGACUCUGAUUUGAAGGUUGCUCCGGUUUGAACAAAACCUAAGUCAAGAUGGGGAAUGAAGCGUCUUACGAAAUGCAGGACCAUAAAGAGGUCAACGGAAAGCUCCAGAAUGGGGGCUUGAAUGGCCACGCUGUGAGCAUCUCUUUGAAGGAGGAACCCAAUGAAAUGGCUGUACAACAGUUCAAUGUCCUCCCCACUCCUCCUAUCGCAAAGGACACAGCCCCCACGGCAGCAAGCGAGCCAGACGGUUUGAAAGCACCCAGCAGCACCCCCCAGGUUCAGCCAUCUCCAAACAAGCCAGAUCCACCCUCUUCUAAAGCCCCAGAGAACCCAUCAUCUGAACUGGUCAACACGGAGGUGCCCACAGAGGGGCAGAGCAGCACCCAGCCACCUCAUGCCUCAGACCCUGAGGAGGAACCCAAGCCUGCCCCUGAGGCCAAGGUUCCCCUCUUCAACAAGCUUUUCAAGAAGAAAACAGAGGACAAGGUUCUGAAGGAUGUGCCUACAGUGCAGCUUGAAGUCUCUGAAGGGGAGAAGCCUGUUGUGAUGACAGUCACCAUAGAUGGCCUCCAGAGUGCGAGUCCAAGCAAAACUCCCAGUGAAGAAACAUCUGCUGAUAAUGACAAAGAUGUGACAAAGGGCCCUAAGGAGCCUGAGGGCAAGACCAAGCUGGAGAAAGGGUCCCCAGCGAAGGAAGCAGUCCCAUCUGCAACAGAGCCCAAAGAUCUGGAGCCCAGUCCAAAGGACUCUACAGGCGGGGCCUUCAGCAAACUCUUCCGACAGAAGUCUUUUAAGGAUACCCAGCCAACAACCACAAAUGGCGUACAGGAAGUAGAUGCUGCUACCGCUGCAAAGACUGCGAAGACGGUGCCUCCACCAGAGCCACCCAAAGCUGAAACCAAAGCAGAACCAGCUGCUAAAAACAUCCAGAAAGAGGGGCUCAAAGACGUGCCAAGUGGCCCGGAAACGUCCGCCAAGAAGCCUUCUAAAGGUGGCCGCUUCUCCAAACUUUUUAGUUCUAAAACGGCCGCUUCGAAGGCCAGUACCCUAGAGGCCACUCCACCACCAGAGCAGCCCCCGAAACCAAUGGAGAAAAAGAAAUCUAAUCUCAUCUCCAUUUUCAAGACCAAGGUACCGCAACGCCCGCAAACCUCUAAAGUCCAGGCUGUGCCGGCAUCUGGAAACAGUGUAACGGUCAACACCGAAGCACCGGCCCCUGAGGCCACAAAGGAAACCCCCCCUGAGGCUCCACCGCUGCCGGAGGCUGCACCCAGCGCCAAGGCGAAAGAGGAGCCCAAGCCCCCCGCAGAGGCCGAGAAGAAGAAGAGCGGCAAGCAGGAGGCUGCCCCUAAAGCCAAGGCUCCUGAGGUCACCGCCGACAACAAGUUGGUGUCUGAGGCCUUGCCAGGUGGAGAUGAUGUUGUCCCCAGUGUCACCAAGAAGCUUGAGAAGAGGAACUCAAUCCAUUUGUUCUUCAAAAGUUUGGGACCAAAACGACUGUCAGAGGUUGGAGUUCAGACCGAUCCUGUGACCAUUACUUACCCCUCUGAAAAGGCCAAGUAACAUCCCACUGCUCUGUUUUCUAAACCCGUGAAGAAAGGCAGGGCAAAACAAACUUUUGUAUAUGUACAUCUUUUGCGUUCUCAUCUGAUUUUCGGUGCAGAAGGGCGGGUGGUGAGAUUUUACAAUGUGCAGCGGGGGUAAGAGCAAGUGGUCGUCGACUGAAAGCUGACGGACAACUGUCGUGUAUGGAAUGGAGGGAAGGGAGGGGUUGGAUCAUGGGGGGCUUUCUUGUGAAAGAGGGUACUUCACUAUGGACGUCAGUGGUGUUUAUGGUGAAAAGGCAAUAGCUAAUCAAUAGAAAUGAUUGACUCUUCUACUGACUGUUAAUUGACACAGCCUUCAUUUUUUUGUCAUAUAGAGUGACGACAGUUUCAUAGCUAGCCUUCGCUCCUGGAAAUGCUUCAUAUAAAACCUUCUAAACUCAAACUUCUUAUUUAUCUCUAUGUUAAAUGGUCUAAUAUAUUAAGAACAUUAUUAUUACUUUUGUUAUUUUCUUUUGUAAGCAUAUAGUUUGUUGUAGAUUGUGUAGGACAUUAAAAGUAUAUUGACUGUAUGAUCAGUUUGCUUUAUUUUCAGACUGUAAAGUGAAAUUCUUGCUUAUAUGUGCAUGUACUGUGAGGAUUAGUGGCAAAGCUGUGAACCCAUGAAAUCUAUAUUUCGCAGCUCACAUCUAUAUUUUCACAGCUUGUUGUAAAACAUUAUUAAAGAAAUUCUACCAAAAGUCAAAAGUCUCAAGAAACGGCAAACCGGGGGAAAAUGACAUAAACUGAACAGAAAAGGAUCUAUGAUCAGAAAAAAAAAUUAAAAAAAAAAAAAAAAAAAAAUUCCUAUAGCCACUAUAGAAUUUCAAAUUUCAACUCACAACUUGCAGUUCUUUUGUGAG